UCCUUCCACGGACCACAGGUUGCCCUGAGCCCCAGCUAGUGACAUGGCUCCUGGGAGAGAGAGGAAAGAUCUUGGGCCUUCAUCCCAGAACAAGAAUCCUCCCACCCAUGAGCGUGGAUUUCAAACAUUAAAUACAAUGUGAUUUUGAGAUUGAAAACAGAAAGGAAAGAAAAGAAGGAAGGAAGAAAAGAAUGGGGUUGAGCAUGCAGAAGAUAGAGCCCUAGAAACCUGCAGUCACGGACGGGAGGAGCUCCCGGGGCCCCAGUCCACCCUAGGAAGCUCAGGGCUGCUGGAGAAGAGGAAGUCACUCACUGUCUUCACCAGAGAGUGAGCCAUAACUCCAGAGGACAGCUCCACACCAAUGCCCAGAGGUCAGCUCUACACCAAUGCCCAUGUGAACAGGCCUGGUUAAACCCAGGGAAUGGCAAGGCAAACACAAAAACAAGGCGGAAGACACGAAACUGGGAUGAGGACUUGGUGGGAGUGGAAGAGAGAGCAUCCCUGGUCUCCUAACUGGGUUCUGCAGCUACACUCAACCCUACCUCAUGAACUUCUCCAUGACUUCCUCCACCCACAUCUGCAGCCUCAGGAAGCUGAUGCCGUAGUACCACCAGAGGCGGAAGAGGUUCAGCAGGUACCAGUCGGUUUCCUCCAGCACGAAAUGUUCUCCACCGAAGAUGGCGCUCCUGCCCACCACCUCGCGCCGCUGUCUCAGCCCUGCGGGAGACCAGCAGCCCCCUCAGCUCCCCUUUAAGGACCCCAGGAGGCCCAAGCAGUGCCUUGAGCUUUUUUUGCACUGGGGCCUUCCUGAUGCAAAUGGCUGGGAUCGUCCUAUUUUGUUCCUAUAUGCUACUUGUCUGUAAGCAGCAUGCUAAUGAAUAC